rnacentral:piRNA from 1 species
UGGUUCGGCAUUUUUUUUAAU